AGCUCCGCCCAUGGCGAGCCGGCGAUGGCCCGAUGGGCGGCAUUGCUGCUGCUUCUGCUUGCCGCGCCGGCGGCGGGGAGGAAGGAGAAGGCCGGCGAGAAGGUGUGCGACAAGGGGUGGGAGUGCAGCGGCAGCCGGUUCUGCUGCAACGAGACCAUCAGCGACUACUUCAAGGCGUACCAGUUCGAGGAGCUCUUCGCCCACCGCAACGAUGCCCAGGCCCACGCCCCCGGCUUCUGGGACUACCAGGCCUUCAUCACCGCCGCCGCCCUCUUCGAGCCUCGCGGGUUCGGCACCACCGGAGGCAAGCAGAUGGGGAUGAAGGAGGUCGCCGCUUUCCUCGGCCAUGUCGGCGCCAAGACGUCAUGUGGAUAUGGUGAAGCACCUGGUGGUGAAACGGCUUGGGGGCUUUGCUAUAACCAUGAAUUGAGCCCCAGUCAGAGCUACUGUGAUGAUAGCAAUGAAUUGUACCCUUGUGUUGAAGGAGUUGAGUACUAUGGCAGAGGCGCUAUUCCUGUUUACUGGAACCACAACUAUGGUAUCAUUGGCAAUGGUAUCAAGCAGGAUCUGUUGAAUCACCCAGAGCUAUUGGAACAGAAUGCCACCCUAGCAUUUGAAGCAGCUGUCUGGAGGUGGAUGACUCCAAUGAAGCGGAAGCAGCCAUCUGCCCAUGAUGUGUUUGUUGGUAACUGGAAACCCACCAAGAACGACACAUUGUCCAAGAGGUAUCCUGGCUUUGGUGCUACCAUGAACAUCCUGUAUGGUGAUGAUAUCUGUGAGAUUUGCAAGGGUCUUCAGUGGCAUAUUCCUGCAGGACUAAAAACGAAUGGAUAAAUAUCUUUGGAACACAGCUUGUCCAAGUGAUUUCGUGGGGACCAGAAGUUGGGAACCACACAUAUGUACAGCCAGGUAGCGAUAGGCUAACUAGUGGGUAAGAAAGCAAGCAGGAAGGGAUGGAGCUCACCAACAUCCCCUAUCUUGCAUCAUCUUCCUCCUCCAGCAUCUUCUACUCCAGCUACAGCCGCUGUACCUGCAGGGGCAAAAAGGCUGGGAACCUGGUGAUAACAGCUUCUGCAGCUGGUGGUAGGUGUGCUGCUGAUUUGGCAUGUUCACAGCUUGUUGAGCGGGAAAAUAAAGACGCCCUUUCAGGUCCUAGAUCUUCCUGGCAUUAUAGAAGGAGAGAAUUUGCUUCUGCCAUUUUGCUCCCUUUUCUGCUUCCUCAUGUUGAUGUCUCAAGCGCGGCUGAGACAUACAAUGAAUCAAUCAUUCGAAGUGGCGUGAGGACUGUCUUAACCAAGGCCAAGGCUGCUGGCGUGCUUCGUUUGGUUUUCCAUGAUGCAGGGACUUUUGAUGUUAGUGACAAAUCAGGUGGCAUGAAUGGCUCUAUAAUAUAUGAAGUUGACAGGCCUGAAAAUACUGGGCUAAAUAGAUCCAUAAAGAUAUUAGGAAAAGCAAAAUCAGGAAUCGAUGAUAUUCAGAAAGUGUCAUGGGCGGACUUGAUUGCUGUGGCUGGUGCUGAGGCAGUUGCGCUCUGUGGUGGGCCUGAAAUUCCAGUAAGGCUAGGACGAUUAGAUUCCAGUACUGCUGAUCCAGCUGGUAAGCUCCCUGAAGAGACAUUGGAUGCAGCUGCUCUAAAAACAUUAUUCAGCACAAAGGGUUUUUCACCGCAGGAGAUGGUUGUUUUAUCUGGUGCACACACAAUUGGAGGCAAAGGAUUCGGGAGUCCAAUCGUUUUUGACAACACCUACUUCAAAGUGCUCCUUGAGAAGAAGCCUCAAACAUCUUCAUCUGGCAUGGAAGCAAUGGUGGGGCUGCGCACGGAUUGGGCACUCACUGAAGAUGACGAGUGCUUAAGAUGGAUUAGGAUAUAUGCAGAGGACCAAGCUAGAUUUUUCGACGACUUCAGGGAUACAUACAUCAAGCUGGUAGAUAGUGGAGCCACGUGGAGAACAGCUUAAUUAGAAUUUUCCAUGGCUGUAAAAUGCAAUGAAUUUUUCCUAUAUAGGCAGCGGCUCGUUCGAAACAUACGAGUUUCAUAGAAUUUUUUUUUACCAAAAACAGAGCAGUUUUUUCCAGGCAAAAUGCCAAUUGAACACAAAAGACGCAGUCUCUUGUAAACUAAGUAGCAUUUUGGAACACCAAUGAGUUGCAAUUCUCAAACCA